GUUAUCCUUCGGGGUAGGUGAAAUUCCUAACCGGCGGUGAUGAAGUUUAAACUUCUAAGCCCGUGACCCGGUUUACAUUUUUUGUAAAACGGUGGAUUUGGUGAGAAACCAAAGCCGACAGUAAAGUCUGGAUGGGAGAAGGAUUAU
rnacentral:ncRNA from 2 species